rnacentral:rRNA from 1 species
GAUGAACGCUCGCGGGAGGCCUAACACAUGCAAGCCGAGCGGUAGAGUUCCUUCGGGAACUUGAGAGCGGCGUACGGGUGCGUAACACGUGUGCAACCUACCUUUAUCUGGGGGAUAGCCUUUCGAAAGGAAGAUUAAUACCCCAUAAUAUAAUGAUUGGCAUCAAUUAUUAUUGAAAACUCCGGUGGAUAGAGAUGGGCACGCGCAAGAUUAGAUAGUUGGUGAGGUAACGGCUCACCAAGUCAAUGAUCUUUAGGGGUCCUGAGAGGGAGAUCCCCCACACUGGUACUGAGACACGGACCAGACUCCUACGGGAGGCAGCAGUGAGGAAUAUUGGACAAUGGGUGAAAGCCUGAUCCAGCCAUCCCGCGUGAAGGAUGACGGUCCUAUGGAUUGUAAACUUCUUUUGUACAGGGAUAAACCUACUCUCGUGAGGGUAGCUGAAGGUACUGUACGAAUAAGCACCGGCUAACUCCGUG